AUCGUUUGGUUUGAAGGAAGGGCCGGCCUAUCGGAGCACCGAUCAGUAUCCUUCACGCGAGUGUAUUUUCAUCUCUCUUUUGGUUUCUUCUUUUCCCAAAAUGAAUAAAUGAGUUUACCCCCAGUGCAUUUAAUCUUGUCUAAAUAUAUCGAAUGGUUUAUAAUUUCUUUGGGAAGAUGCCGUCUCUCAGUGCUCGACUGGAAUCGCCCGUGGAAUCUUGUUCAUUGAAGGUGUGUUUAGUUAUUGUUAGUCUGCUGCCUUCCUGUUGAGGAUCAAGUGCGGAAGUGGAAGACCGAAACCGUGUUAUAACUUUGCACACACACAACGCAUCGCACUCGAAUCACAAAGCACCAAAUCAGUUCAGGAUGAGUGAAACUAGGAAUCUCGCAACGACAUUCUUGAUCCUGAUGGGUCUACUGUUCCUGCUCUGGCUCGUGUACCGAGGAUUUUCCUAAGCUCCUCCGAAGGAUCAACAAAAAGCGUGUGUGAGCGAGUGAUAGAGUUACGUUAGCAAGCGCGAGGAUGAUGCGAGCGAGUGAGCGAAGGAUGAAGCAGAAUGCACCAGCUGAUGCACCAUACGGAUAAGAGCAAUGCACAAUCUUCACCUAACCAAAUUUCUUAAGAUGCACGUAGAUACUAGGAUUCCAGCUUGAUUUUCGUUUCUCAUACAGUUACUACCCAACUAUUGCACGCGUUUGUGCACUUGGCACCGCCGAACGUCAAUACCGUCAGCAUCAUCAUCAUGAGAUCACCAGGCCCACUACAGUCGCGAUGCUGCUGUUGGUUUUUGUGCAGGACCCAUUCGAUCCACUCUGGUAAGCCACCCGUUGAAGACAUUUUGGUAUUAAGAGCAACGCACGUACGCCAAAGUUUGUGUGAGCUGUUUUACCUAACGUUUACUACGGAAAGGGUUCCAACAAUUGUCCUUCUCGACGCGAUCGUGCCCCCCAAGAAACAGUAGCAGUAUGAAAAAAGAUGAUAAACAUGUCAAAGACAGGGGUGAUCGUAAGUCAAUACGCCACUCGUCGGGACCCGUUUCAACCAAAUCGAUCAUCAUGAACUUGAUCGUUGCCUUCUUCCUGUACCUGCUGCGACGCGUAAUAGAAGCUGGUGGGAAAAGUGCGAUCACCAAGUACAGUCGUUUCAUCAAGUGAACAGUUUUUCGCUAGCAAAUGUUGGGUCUCUUCAUUCUUCAUCUAUUGCGUACUUUAAUUGUUUCGUAUGUUUAACCAUCAAAUAAAAAUAUAACGUUAUAAUGUUCAGAUAAA